UACGUAGGUGGCAAGCGUUGUCCGGAAUUAUUGGGCGUAAAGCGCGCGCAGGUGGUUUUCUUAAGUCUGAUGUGAAAGCCCACGGCUCAACCGUGGAGGGUCAUUGGAAACUGGGGAACUUGAGUGCAGAAGAGGAAAGUGGAAUUCCAAGUGUAGCGGUGAAAUGCGUAGAGAUUUGGAGGAACACCAGUGGCGAAGGCGACUUUCUGGUCUGUAACUGACACUGAGGCGCGAAAGCGUGGGGAGCGAACAGG
rnacentral:rRNA from 1 species